UGGUGGAGUGAUUUGUCUGGUUAAUUCCGAUAACGAACGAGACUCCAGCCUACUAAAUAGAUACCGAUUAAUUAGAUCGGUAUACUUCUUAGAGGGACAAGUGGUAUUUAGCCACAUGAGAUUGAGCAAUAACA
rnacentral:rRNA from 1 species